GCUUACGGCCACAUCAGUGUGAAAGUGUCUGAUCUUCGAAGUUAAACACGCCUGUGCUCGGCUAGUACGUGGAUGGGAAAUCGCCUGAGAACCCCAGGUGCUAUAAGCU
rnacentral:rRNA from 1 species